rnacentral:rRNA from 1 species
GACGAACGCUGGCGGCGUGCUUAACACAUGCAAGUCGAACGGAAAGGCCCUGUCUUUGUGCGGUGUUCGAGUGGCGAACGGGUGAGUAACCCGUCAGUAACCUGCUUUUCACUUUGGGUUAACUUUAGGAAACUGGGGCUAAUACCGUAUAGGAGCUCCUGCUGCAUGGUGGGGGUUGGAUCGUUUCGGCGGUUGGGGAUGGACUCGCGGCCUAUCAGCUCGUUGGUGGGGUAGUGGCUUACCAAGGCUUUGACGGGUAGCCGGCCUGAGAGGGUGACCGGCCACAUUGGGACUGAGAUACGGCCCAGACUCCUACGGGAGGCAGCAGUGGGGAAUAUUGCACAAUGGGCGGAAGCCUGAUGCAGCAACGCCGCGUGCGGGAUGACGGCCUUCGGGUUGUAAACCGCUUUCGCCUGUGACGAAGCGUGAGUGACGGUAAUGGGUAAAGAAGCACCGGCUAACUACGUG